rnacentral:rRNA from 1 species
AUACGGAGGGGACAAGCGUUAUUCGGAAUCACUGGGCGUAAAGGACGCGUAGGCGGGUUAUUAAGUCGGGUGUGAAAUCCAAUGGCUCAACCAUUGAACUGCAUUCGAAACUGAUAACCUAGAGUAUGAAAGGGGCAGGUGGAAUUAGUGGUGUAAGGGUAAAAUCCGUAGAUAUCACUAGGAAUACCGAAAGCGAAGGCGACCUGCUGGGACAUUACUGACGCUGAGGCGUGAAAGCGUGGGGAGCAAACAGGAUUAGAAACCCCAGUAGUCC